CUCGAGGUCGGUCGUCCUUGGGCUUGUGUUUAGCUUUUCUGUGACAACCGUCUUCUUCUUUGGAGCUACGUCAUGUGUGUUCUGUUGUGUCGUCUCCAUGAUGAGGUUUUCUGGCGGCACGUAGUCCUUCGCAUCGACUUCCGUCGUUUUAACAACUGGAGAAAAGGCCCGUGACGUAUGUGUCAGGAACCCGCAUGGCUGCAGUGGUUGUGACCCCGAGAUGCAGGAAACAGGAGAUCAAUGCGCAGGACGAAGCAUGAAAAAUUUAUCGGCCUCAUCUCCAUAUGCUGAUGCCUGUGAUUGAGUCGCCGACGCUUGUUUUGAGGGAAAAGAACGACGGCAUCGAUUUGGACCUCAGGGGCGCAUAGAGACAGCCGAGUGUGAGAGGAGACCCUCUGCCCCCCUUUCUGCCUCCGCCUUGCUCCUCAAGAUGCAAGCUGAGGAAAUCACCCGGGACCAAGCCCAACUGAUCAACGAUGUAUGGCAGGAGAGCCAGUGUGUUGAGCUGCUGGCUCCGCCCCCUCAUCAUGGUCCCAGGAUGAAUGGCAGGCUGCUGGGUACCCUAAGUGAUGAAAUGAUGACCCCAUUAAGAGAAGCGCUUCCAAAAAAUGAGGGGUAUCGGCCAAAGAUUGCGACUCCUCUCUCUCUCGGCGCCUUGCCGCCACCGUCCUGCUCUCGCUGCUGCACAAAUCAUGAUUGAUUCGCUUGAGAUGGAUCACAGGAAGCACCUAUUGAUUUUUUUCCCCUCGCUAAAAAAAAAUAAAAAUACUUAUUUACAGUUAUCCAGACUUACUCAAUAUCCACUUUUUCCAAACAAGUGAUGGGAUAAAAGAGUUAAUUCUCCUUGCUCCAUGACUUGACAAAUGACCUGUGAUAUUAUUUCAGUGAGGAGUCGAUAUGGCCGCCGGACUAAAUUAAUAUUGAUUGGUUAUAAUGAAGCCAGCGUGUGGAUAUGAGCUCUUUCAGGGGCCCCUGCCGCAGCCAGCCUCCAUGAUGACUGCGGCUCCCUUUAGAAAUGACAUAAAUUCCAGAAUUAACCUGUUGCCUUCAGAACGCCUUUAACAAUGCAGGCAGCUUUUCAAGUACUUUUAAAGUGGAAAAAUAACUUAAAGACUCUGUAACCGUACGUACGUACGUCAUCUAAAAUAACUGGAAUUUUGAUGACAAAAGAGAGGAAAAGAUGGUUCAAUUUCAUGCAUUGUUUUGUUUUAAGUGCAUCCUAACUAAAUUCAACCAGGUUAAAAUCAAAAAUAGAAAACAUUUGAACAUUAACAGGUGUCACUCAUUGACAUUAAAUGCAACUUAAUUUGUCAGUUAAUCAUUCAACCUUGAAAAAAAACGACUUUUGUUUACCAUUUAAAAGUCAUACAAGUGUAAAAAAAAUUGAAUUUGAAUGUUAUUAAUGGAAAACCCUUUGAGAUGCAUCAUCUCGUUUUCAAGGGGGACCAAAGACAUUUAAAAUGAACACGAUACAGUACAACACAGGACAAUUUACACAGCAAACAAUUACACACAAUUGUUAAAGGCCUACUGAAAUGAGAUUUUCUUAUUCAAACGGGGAUAGCAGAUCCAUUCUAUGUGUCAUACUUGAUCAUUUCGAGAUAUUGCCAUAUUUUUGCUGAAAGGAUUUAGUAGAGAACAUCCACGAUAAAGUUCGCAACUGGAGAAAUGCCCUCCCUCAACCGGAAGUCGCAGACGAUGAUGUCACAUGUUGAUGGCUCCUCAUAUAUUCACAUUGAUUUUAAUGGGAGCGUCCAACAAAAACAGCUAUCCGGACCGAGGAAACGACAAUUUCUCCAUUAAUUUGAGCGAGGAUGAAAAUUUGAGUUUGAGGAUAUUGAUAGCGACGGACUAAAAAAAAUAACAAAAAAAAAAACGCGAUUGCUAUCGCGUUGUAUUGAGAUGGAUUAAUAUGUUUUUAGAGACAUUUACUAGGAUAAUUCUGGGGAAUUCCUUAUCUUUCUAUUGUGUUGCUAGUGUUUUAGUGAGUUUAACAGUACCUGAUAGUCGGAAGUGUACGUCCAUGGCCGGGUGUUGACGCGCAGUGUCUCGGGGAAGUCGACGGCAGCUGUAUGGACGGCACAAGCCCAGCUGAUAUCCGGAAAGAAGCGACUUUUUAACCACAAUUUUCUCACCGAAACCUGCUGGUUGACAUGUAGUCGGGAUCCAUGUCCGCUGUGAUCCAUACUAAAGUUUCACCUUCGUGAAUCUUAAACAAGGAAUCACCAUGUGUUUGUGUGGCUAAAGACUAAAGCUUCCCAACUCCGUCUUUCUACUUUGACUUCUCCAAUAUUAAUUGAACAAAUUGCAAAAGAUUCAGCAGCACAGAUAUCCAAAAUACUGUGUAAUUAUGCCGUUAAAGCAGACGACUUUUAGCUGUGUGUGUGUGUGCAGCGCUCAUAUUCAUAACAGCCAGUGACGUCACGCGUACACGUCAUCAUUACGCGACGUUUUCAAGAAAAAAAGGCCGUAUUAGCAUGUGUUGCAUUGUUAAUUUUUCAUCAUUGAUAUAUAAACUAUCAGACUGCGUGGUGGGUAGUAGUGGGUUUCAGUAGGCCUUUAAUUUUGCUCAGAUAUCGCUUAGCUCACACAACUCUCACAAUUUAAAAUAUUCACAAUAGAAUAACAUAUUAUUGCAGUAAAAUAAAUAUAAUAUUAUUACAUUAAAUUCCAACCAUGUGCAUACAGUUUUAAGAUAAAAAAAAGAGACAUUUUGAAGGGACCAAUGGUUGAUGAAGACCUCAGAGAGACAGAAAAGAAGUUAACCUCUGUCAAAAUACCGUUAAAUGACAUCAAAUAAAUCUGCAUUCAUGUUACCCUCGGAGAAAGCAAAAAUGUACACUAAAAGUUCUUGUUUAACAUGUUGGGCUGUCAUACAAGUGUAAAAUAAAAAAGGUAAUUGCCGUAUAAUAAGAUGCAUUAAAAUAAUACAAUUGUUCACAACUUGGCAAAGGCAUUGUGUAUUGGCAAGUUUCCUUUUGCACUUUUUAAAAAAUGUGUCAUUCAAGUACAAAUAUAAGUUAAACAGUCUUUUUUACACAAAAAUAAUUGUGCAUGAGUGUAGUGUGCGGCAAAGGGGUUGCAA